rnacentral:rRNA from 1 species
UACGUAGGGUGCGAGCGUUGUCCGGAUUUAUUGGGCGUAAAGAGCUCGUAGGCGGUUUGUCGCGUCGGCCGUGAAAACCGAGAGCUUAACUCUUGGCGUGCGGUCGAUACGGGCAGACUUGAGUUCGGCAGGGGAGACUGGAAUUCCUGGUGUAGCGGUGAAAUGCGCAGAUAUCAGGAGGAACACCGGUGGCGAAGGCGGGUCUCUGGGCCGAUACUGACGCUGAGGAGCGAAAGCGUGGGGAGCGAACAGGAUUAGAUACCCCGGUAGUCCCUGA